rnacentral:lncRNA from 1 species
GGGAAAGAAACCUGGAAAGUACCCUUGGCUGUGUACAUUUGAGUAAAGAGAGCACUAUAAAAUCAAAAACCAAUGAAAUGGUUUCCAGAACACAGAACUAUUAAGCUUAAGAAAAGGACAGAAGGAACUGAAGAGAGAGGAACUGUUUUGGAGCAUCACACUUCCACCUCAGAAGAAAUAAGGAAGGAAGGAGGAGGGUGUUCCCACGGCUCUUCAACCAGGCCGGCUCUUCAGCCUACAUCCCCAUCUCAUCAAGUAAAAGGGAUUUUUCAACUGGACCAACCAGAUGGUUUAACAGUGCACUCCCACACCAUUCAACUACGCAAGGGAGAUACACUUAACAUAUGCAGUCGUAUAACACCUACUAACAUUUUCAAACAUUAAACCUUUAAAAAAGAGUUCUAAAGAAAUAGAAGCUUGAAGUAUCAUCUCUCAAGUAUAUAGACACUACUUCAUGGUGUGGUAAUAUAUGCAUAUAGAAGCUAGUAAACACCUCCAGGAGAUGCAAAAGGAAUUAGAACUGCCACAAGGUGCAAGCAAAACCUUGAGCUUCUUUAAAAUAUGAAGACUUCGAAGUUAUUUAUCCAAACCAACCUGAUCAUUUCUUAAGAGUGAAUAUACCUUGGAAGACGUGUCCUGCCUUUAGUAGCGUCACAAUGGAUUACAUCCUCUAUAAAGCAGUCUGGGGUGAGAAAAUCGAAUUUGGACACCGUUGAGGAGACUAUUGCAGUCAUCCAAGCUCAAGAUGGUGGAGCUUCAUCCUUGAGAAUAACCAAUGGGGAUAGAUUUAAGAGACACUUAGAGUCUGCAGCCAACAGGGCUGAAUGAGCAUUCUGUUUUUCCUCUUCUAAUCCUUCACCCAUCUGAGCUAAAGUCUAGACCUAAGGAGGCUACUAAUUCAGGGAUCGAGUAAUCUGCCAAGCAAGAGUUUAUUCAAGCACAGUUUGAAAUAAAGGUUUCAAAUGCAUAGCCUGUCGAUACUUUGGAAGGAUUCUCAUCAUAACGAGAUAUGGGAGGACACCUGAGACGGCAGGCCAGAAGUCACUCAGUAGGAGAAACAUCCGUUAGAAGUAAUAAUGUGGGAUUGCUGAAGUAAAGACUAUAGGAAGAAAAAAGUGUCUGUGUGUAGGAAACGGAAAGGGAGAGAAAAAUACACUGAGAUGGUAAAGUAAGGAAGUGGAAGAUCAGCAGAAUGUGCAGAUGCCAAGCCAUCCAAGAAAAUCAUCUCUUGUGAUUGUUGCGAAGUCAACUAGCUAAUGUGACUCACUGCUAGGCUGUUGGAUCUGAGACUUAUGUGGGAUAAUUUAGAAACUUGCUAGUGUCUUAAGAUCAAUUACUCACCAAUGAGAGUGGCAUUGAACUGUGAAUGUUCCUCCUAGAUUUUCCAUGAAGACUAAUGGUUUUGUCUUGUCUUGAAUUUGUUUUAAUUACAAUUUGUAUACAUCCUGUUCCACCCUGAAAUUUUUAUUUUCCAAAUGGUUUUUCAUUUAAAGAGACUAAAUAAAGGUUCUGACUGAGUU